rnacentral:misc_RNA from 1 species
GCCGAAUGAUUGCCCUGCCUUGAUGGGACGGCCACCAAACUCUUGAAUCAUACAAACGUAACCGCGUUGGUGGCACCACGCGUCGUACACAACCUUUGGAUCGAGCGUCAUUCCGGCGAGCCAUGGACCCGACUUGCCCGAUUGCGCGUCACGGAUGUGAUAGGCGCGAAUGAAACGUUCGGGCAGUGUUUGAGCUUCAUUUCGCUGAUAGCGAAACUUUUCGUCCGGCGCGAAAUCGUCGAAGAAUUCGCUGCUCGGUAUCACGCCACGUGCACUUGCGCCCCGUGCAAUCGCGCCCCGUGCAAUCGCGCCUUUGUCCGCUUGAUAGUCUUGAUAACUCAGGUAGACCUCGCUGAACGUAUUACCACGCUCAUGCUUGAUAUGUCCGG